CCGACUUUGGCCUCGCCGCAGAGAACAUCUUCGACCAGACAAGAACCAACGGAGUAAUAGGAACCCCUGGAUACCGCGCACCAGAGGUUCUAUCAAAGGCAGAGUAUAACGCAGGCGUGGAUUGGUGGUCUUUUGGGAUUACCAUGUACCAAAUGGCCACGGGCAGCUUGCCAUUUUCACCAUCAGGCAGUAUUUUAAGGCAAUUCUUUGCAAUAAAGAAGAAUACGCCUUAUUACCCAUAUUAUAUGAGCAAGGAAAUGCUGGACCUCCUGCCGAAGCUUUUGGAGAUGGAUGAGAAUC